rnacentral:tRNA from 1 species
GGAUGCCCAGGGUUUCCAGCGCCCGGAUCAGGAGCCCGAGAUGCCGGGUUCGAAUCCCGGCGUGUCCG